GACUAAGUACUGGCUUGCCCAACAUACUGUCUGCGAUGAGCAUCUUCCCCCUAGCACAAAGACCCCUUUCCCCGAAGAUUCCAAUCCCCGGAGUCCCGAACUCUCCUCUCCUUCUUCCCAAGCUUAUACAGCGGGAACCUGGUUUUCGGAAUUCGAGGGGCCUCUAGUGUUGAAAACUGCCAAGCUUUUUUUUGCCUCUUUGUUUUGUUCAACAUGUGAUGCUCUGCCACCAUUCCUGAUUCGCCGUUGCAUCAUCAAUCCAAACUCUGUCCAAAUUGACUACAAUAGCUUUCCUGUCACUAGCAAUAGUUGAAAGAAAAACAUUGGGCAUUUGGCGACCCCUGCACUCUUGUAAACAAAUGGAAUCCACCUUCGCUUACCUUUUAUAACACAAUAAUGAUGACAGCCUUUUUGUUAGGAUCACUGUCUAACCCCCAGGAGAAAUCUUUCUUUUUAUGCUUGAUUUUUGCCAAAUUUGCUUCUUCUGCUUCUUCUUGGUUACCAAAGUCAAAUCAUCCAAGGCUAAUUAUUCUCUCACUCAAUAGGGUCUCUUGGGAAUCAGUGAU
rnacentral:lncRNA from 1 species